rnacentral:rRNA from 1 species
UACGGGGGGGGCAAGCGUUGUUCGGAAUUACUGGGCGUAAAGGGUUCGUAGGUGGCUUGCUAAGUCAGACGUGAAAUCCCUCGGCUCAACCGGGGAACUGCGUCUGAUACUGGAUGGCUUGAAUUCGGGAGAGGGAUGCGGAAUUCCAGGUGUAGCGGUGAAAUGCGUAGAUAUCUGGAGGAACACCGGUGGCGAAGGCGGCAUCCUGGACCAAUACUGACACUGAGGAGCGAAAGCCAGGGGAGCAAACGGG